rnacentral:rRNA from 1 species
CACUUCGGGGUGGAUUAGUGGCGAACGGGUGAGUAACACGUGGGCAAUCUGCCCUGCACUCUGGGACAAGCCCUGGAAACGGGGUCUAAUACCGGAUAACACCCCCUCUCGCAUGGGUGGGGGUUGAAAGCUCCGGCGGUGCAGGAUGAGCCCGCGGCCUAUCAGCUUGUUGGUGAGGUAGAAGCUCACCAAGGCGACGACGGGUAGCCGGCCUGAGAGGGCGACCGGCCACACUGGGACUGAGACACGGCCCAGACUCCUACGGGAGGCAGCAGUGGGGAAUAUUGCACAAUGGGCGAAAGCCUGAUGCAGCGACGCCGCGUGAGGGAUGACGGCCUUCGGGUUGUAAACCUCUUUCAGCAGGGAAGAAGCGAAAGUGACGGUACCUGCAGAAGAAGCGCCGGCUAACUACGUGCCAGCAGCCGCGGUAAUACGUAGGGCGCAAGCGUUGUCCGGAAUUAUUGGGCGUAAAGAGCUCGUAGGCGGCUUGUCGCGUCGGUUGUGAAAGCCCGGGGCUUAACCCCGGGUCUGCAGUCGAUACGGGCAGGCUAGAGUGUGGUAGGGGAGAUCGGAAUUCCUGGUGUAGCGGUGAAAUGCGCA